rnacentral:rRNA from 1 species
CCUACGGGAGGCAGCAGUAGGGAAUAUUGGUCAAUGGGUGAGAGCCUGAACCAGCCAUGCCGCGUGCAGGAAGACGGCCUUCUGGGUUGUAAACUGCUUUUAUCUGGGGAUAAAAUACCCGUGCGCGGGGAAUUGAAGGUACCAGAGGAAUAAGCCACGGCUAACUACGUGCCAGCAGCCGCGGUAAUACGUAGGUGGCAAGCGUUGUCCGGAUUUAUUGGGUUUAAAGGGUGCGUAGGCGGCUUUGUAAGUCAGUGGUGAAAUACGGCAGCUCAACUGUCGAGGUGCCAUUGAUACUGCAGAGCUAGAGUACUGAUGAGGUAGGCGGAAUGGACGGUGUAGCGGUGAAAUGCUUAGAUAUCGUCCAGAACACCGAUAGCGAAGGCAGCUUACUAAAGAGUAACUGACGCUGAGGCACGAAAGUGUGGGGAUCAAACAGGAUUAGAUACCCCUGUAGUC